rnacentral:rRNA from 1 species
GGGUUGUGAGGUUAAGCGACUAAGCGUACACGGUGGAUGCCCUGGCAGUCAGAGGCGAUGAAGGACGUGCUAAUCUGCGAUAAGCGUCGGUAAGGUGAUAUGAACCGUUAUAACCGGCGAUUUCCGAAUGGGGAAACCCAGUGUGUUUCGACACACUAUCAUUAACUGAAUCCAUAGGUUAAUGAGGCGAACCGGGGGAACUGAAACAUCUAAGUACCCCGAGGAAAAGAAAUCAACCGAGAUUCCCCCAGUAGCGGCGAGCGAACGGGGAGCAGCCCAGAGCCUGAAUCAGUGUGUGUGUUAGUGGAAGCGUCUGGAAAGGCGCGCGAUACAGGGUGACAGCCCCGUACACAAAAAUGCACAUGCUGUGAGCUCGAUGAGUAGGGCGGGACACGUGGUAUCCUGUCUGAAUAUGGGGGGACCAUCCUCCAAGGCUAAAUACUCCUGACUGACCGAUAGUGAACCAGUACCGUGAGGGAAAGGCGAAAAGAACCCCGGCGAGGGGAGUGAAAAAGAACCUGAAACCGUGUACGUACAAGCAGUGGGAGCACGCUUAGGCGUGUGACUGCGUACCUUUUGUAUAAUGGGUCAGCGACUUAUAUUCUGUAGCAAGGUUAACCGAAUAGGGGAGCCGAAGGGAAACCGAGUCUUAACUGGGCGUUAAGUUGCAGGGUAUAGACCCGAAACCCGGUGAUCUAGCCAUGGGCAGGUUGAAGGUUGGGUAACACUAACUGGAGGACCGAACCGACUAAUGUUGAAAAAUUAGCGGAUGACUUGUGGCUGGGGGUGAAAGGCCAAUCAAACCGGGAGAUAGCUGGUUCUCCCCGAAAGCUAUUUAGGUAGCGCCUCGUGAAUUCAUCUCCGGGGGUAGAGCACUGUUUCGGCAAGGGGGUCAUCCCGACUUACCAACCCGAUGCAAACUGCGAAUACCGGAGAAUGUUAUCACGGGAGACACACGGCGGGUGCUAACGUCCGUCGUGAAGAGGGAAACAACCCAGACCGCCAGCUAAGGUCCCAAAGUCAUGGUUAAGUGGGAAACGAUGUGGGAAGGCCCAGACAGCCAGGAUGUUGGCUUAGAAGCAGCCAUCAUUUAAAGAAAGCGUAAUAGCUCACUGGUCGAGUCGGCCUGCGCGGAAGAUGUAACGGGGCUAAACCAUGCACCGAAGCUGCGGCAGCGACGCUUAUGCGUUGUUGGGUAGGGGAGCGUUCUGUAAGCCUGUGAAGGUGUGCUGUGAGGCAUGCUGGAGGUAUCAGAAGUGCGAAUGCUGACAUAAGUAACGAUAAAGCGGGUGAAAAGCCCGCUCGCCGGAAGACCAAGGGUUCCUGUCCAACGUUAAUCGGGGCAGGGUGAGUCGACCCCUAAGGCGAGGCCGAAAGGCGUAGUCGAUGGGAAACAGGUUAAUAUUCCUGUACUUGGUGUUACUGCGAAGGGGGGACGGAGAAGGCUAUGUUGGCCGGGCGACGGUUGUCCCGGUUUAAGCGUGUAGGCUGGUUUUCCAGGCAAAUCCGGAAAAUCAAGGCUGAGGCGUGAUGACGAGGCACUACGGUGCUGAAGCAACAAAUGCCCUGCUUCCAGGAAAAGCCUCUAAGCAUCAGGUAACAUCAAAUCGUACCCCAAACCGACACAGGUGGUCAGGUAGAGAAUACCAAGGCGCUUGAGAGAACUCGGGUGAAGGAACUAGGCAAAAUGGUGCCGUAACUUCGGGAGAAGGCACGCUGAUAUGUAGGUGAAGUCCCUCGCGGAUGGAGCUGAAAUCAGUCGAAGAUACCAGCUGGCUGCAACUGUUUAUUAAAAACACAGCACUGUGCAAACACGAAAGUGGACGUAUACGGUGUGACGCCUGCCCGGUGCCGGAAGGUUAAUUGAUGGGGUUAGCCGCAAGGCGAAGCUCUUGAUCGAAGCCCCGGUAAACGGCGGCCGUAACUAUAACGGUCCUAAGGUAGCGAAAUUCCUUGUCGGGUAAGUUCCGACCUGCACGAAUGGCGUAAUGAUGGCCAGGCUGUCUCCACCCGAGACUCAGUGAAAUUGAACUCGCUGUGAAGAUGCAGUGUACCCGCGGCAAGACGGAAAGACCCCGUGAACCUUUACUAUAGCUUGACACUGAACAUUGAGCCUUGAUGUGUAGGAUAGGUGGGAGGCUUAGAAGUGUGGACGCCAGUCUGCAUGGAGCCGACCUUGAAAUACCACCCUUUAAUGUUUGAUGUUCUAACGUUGACCCGUAAUCCGGGUUGCGGACAGUGUCUGGUGGGUAGUUUGACUGGGGCGGUCUCCUCCUAAAGAGUAACGGAGGAGCACGAAGGUUGGCUAAUCCUGGUCGGACAUCAGGAGGUUAGUGCAAUGGCAUAAGCCAGCUUGACUGCGAGCGUGACGGCGCGAGCAGGUGCGAAAGCAGGUCAUAGUGAUCCGGUGGUUCUGAAUGGAAGGGCCAUCGCUCAACGGAUAAAAGGUACUCCGGGGAUAACAGGCUGAUACCGCCCAAGAGUUCAUAUCGACGGCGGUGUUUGGCACCUCGAUGUCGGCUCAUCACAUCCUGGGGCUGAAGUAGGUCCCAAGGGUAUGGCUGUUCGCCAUUUAAAGUGGUACGCGAGCUGGGUUUAGAACGUCGUGAGACAGUUCGGUCCCUAUCUGCCGUGGGCGCUGGAGAACUGAGGGGGGCUGCUCCUAGUACGAGAGGACCGGAGUGGACGCAUCACUGGUGUUCGGGUUGUCAUGCCAAUGGCACUGCCCGGUAGCUAAAUGCGGAAGAGAUAAGUGCUGAAAGCAUCUAAGCACGAAACUUGCCCUA